rnacentral:rRNA from 2 species
ACGCUGGCGGCAGGCCUAACACAUGCAAGUCGAGCGGAAACGACAACAUUGACCCUUCGGGUGAUUUGUUGGGCGUCGAGCGGCGGACGGGUGAGUAAUGCCUGGGAAAUUGCCCUGAUGUGGGGGAUAACCAUUGGAAACGAUGGCUAAUACCGCAUAACGUCUACGGACCAAAGAGGGGGACCUUCGGGCCUCUCGCUUCAGGAUAUGCCCAGGUGGGAUUAGCUAGUUGGUGAGGUAAUGGCUCACCAAGGCGACGAUCCCUAGCUGGUCUGAGAGGAUGAUCAGCCACACUGGAACUGAGACACGGUCCAGACUCCUACGGGAGGCAGCAGUGGGGAAUAUUGCACAAUGGGCGCAAGCCUGAUGCAGCCAUGCCGCGUGUAUGAAGAAGGCCUUCGGGUUGUAAAGUACUUUCAGUCGUGAGGAAGGCGUUGAAGUUAAUAGCUUCAUCGUUUGACGUUAGCGACAGAAGAAGCACCGGCUAACUCCGUGCCAGCAGCCGCGGUAAUACGGAGGGUGCGAGCGUUAAUCGGAAUUACUGGGCGUAAAGCGCAUGCAGGUGGUUUGUUAAGUCAGAUGUGAAAGCCCGGGGCUCAACCUCGGAACCGCAUUUGAAACUGGCAGGCUAGAGUACUGUAGAGGGGGGUAGAAUUUCAGGUGUAGCGGUGAAAUGCGUAGAGAUCUGAAGGAAUACCAGUGGCGAAGGCGGCCCCCUGGACA